rnacentral:rRNA from 1 species
ACGCGAAGAACCUUACCCAGGCUUGACAUACCCCUGACAUCCAUAGAAAUAUGGUGCCCUUCGGGGCUGGGGAAUACCAGGUGCUGCCCAUGGCACGUCGUCAGCUCGUGUUUCGUGAAGAUGUUGGGUUAAGUCCCGCAACNGAGCGCAACCCUUGCCAUUAGUUGCCAUCGGGUGAUGCCGGGCACUCUAAUGGAACUGCCGGCGAUAAGUCGGAGGAAGGUGGGGAUGACGUCAAGUCCUCAUGGCCCUUACGCCUGGGGCUGCAAUCGUGCUACAAUGGGCGGUACAGAGAGCUGCUAAGCCGCGAGGUGGAGCGAUCNUCUAAAAGCCGUCCUCAGUUCGGAUCGGAGUCUGCAACCCGACUCCGUGAAGUCGGAAUCGCUAGUAAUCGCGGAUCAGCAUGCCGCGGGAUACGUUCCCGGCCUGUACACACCGCCCGUCAAGCGAUGAAGCCGGGGGUGCCCGAAGUCGUGUCUCUAACCUUUGGGAAGAGCACGCCGAAGUAAAA